rnacentral:lncRNA from 1 species
UACAGGAAGUCAGUUUAGUGGAUGAUAGGAUAAAUGUAAUUGGCAAUAAUCUGGUCUCAACUUGUGUGGCUUCAUCAGGCAUUAAUCUAUUCUCUAAAAAGAGAGCUACGAAUACGAUAGUCUGCCAUAAUAAAAUUAGAGAUAUUAUAUGGACCUUUUUAAACGAAUUCGUUCUGACGGACCUAUUGGCAUAUUUGCAGAUGAACAUGGGAAUAUUUUUAAAGUCGGGGGCAAAUCAAAGAACGUAGUUGCGAUAACUUCGGAUGGCUCAACGCACAAAAUACUCCUGUCAGAAAAAGACUUGUGUAAUUCACCCAGGGCAGUCUGCUAUAACAGUAAAUUAAAAUAUUUGCUUGUUGCUAGCGAAACUGACGGGCACGCAUUUUUGUAUAGUGUAAAUUACGAAUAACUGUAUUUUAUGUUUUUAUAUUAUGUAAAGCAUAACUGAUUUAAAAGGCACAAAUUAUGUCAUAUUUUCGUGGUUAUAAAUUCGCACAAAU